rnacentral:rRNA from 1 species
CUAUACAUGCAGUCGAGCGACGGACGAGAAGCUUGCUUCUCUGAUGUUAGCGGCGGACGGGUGAGUAACACGUGGAUAACCUACCUAUAAGACUGGGAUAACUUCGGGAAACCGGAGCUAAUACCGGAUAAUAUUUUGAACCGCAUGGUUCAAAAGUGAAAGACGGUCUUGCUGUCACUUAUAGAUGGAUCCGCGCUGCAUUAGCUAGUUGGUAAGGUAACGGCUUACCAAGGCAACGAUGCAUAGCCGACCUGAGAGGGUGAUCGGCCACACUGGAACUGAGACACGGUCCAGACUCCUACGGGAGGCAGCAGUAGGGAAUCUUCCGCAAUGGGCGAAAGCCUGACGGAGCAACGCCGCGUGAGUGAUGAAGGUCUUCGGAUCGUAAAACUCUGUUAUUAGGGAAGAACAUAUGUGUAAGUAACUGUGCACAUCUUGACGGUACCUAAUCAGAAAGCCACGGCUAACUACGUGCCAGCAGCCGCGGUAAUACGUAGGUGGCAAGCGUUAUCCGGAAUUAUUGGGCGUAAAGCGCGCGUAGGCGGUUUUUUAAGUCUGAUGUGAAAGCCCACGGCUCAACCGUGGAGGGUCAUUGGAAACUGGAAAACUUGAGUGCAGAAGAGGAAAGUGGAAUUCCAUGUGUAGCGGUGAAAUGCGCAGAGAUAUGGAGGAACACCAGUGGCGAAGGCGACUUUCUGGUCUGUAACUGACGCUGAUGUGCGAAAGCGUGGGGAUCAAACAGGAUUAGAUACCCUGGUAGUCCACGCCGUAAACGAUGAGUGCUAAGUGUUAAGGGGGUUUCCGCCCCUUAGUGCUGCAGCUAACGCAUUAAGCACUCCGCCUGGGGGAGUACGACCGCAAGGUUGAAACUCAAAGGAAUUGACGGGGACCCCGCCACAGCGGUGGGAGCAUGGUGGUUAAUUCGAAGCAACGCGAGACCUUACCCAAUCUUGGACAUCCUUUGACAACUCUARAGAUAGAGCUUUCCCUUCGGGGGGACAA